AGUGAACGCUGGCGGUAGGCCUAACACAUGCAAGUCGAACGGCGGCACAGUAAGAGCUUGCUCUUACGGGUGGCGAGUGGCGGACGGGUGAGGAAUACAUCGGAAUCUACUUUUUCGUGGGGGAUAACGUAGGGAAACUUACGCUAAUACCGCAUACGACCUACGGGUGAAAGCAGGGGAUCUUCGGACCUUGCGCGACUGAAUGAGCCGAUGUCGGAUUAGCUAGUUGGCGGGGUAAAGGCCCACCAAGGCGACGAUCCGUAGCUGGUCUGAGAGGAUGAUCAGCCACACUGGAACUGAGACACGGUCCAGACUCCUACGGGAGGCAGCAGUGGGGAAUAUUGGACAAUGGGCGCAAGCCUGAUCCAGCCAUACCGCGUGGGUGAAGAAGGCCUUCGGGUUGUAAAGCCCUUUUGUUGGGAAAGAAAAGCAGCAGGUUAAUACCCCGCUGUUCUGACGGUACCCAAAGAAUAAGCACCGGCUAACUUCGUG
rnacentral:rRNA from 1 species